rnacentral:rRNA from 1 species
AUUGAAAGCUGGGGGCAGACCUAACAGGUAGAAGUCGAGCGAGCGGCGGACGGGUGAGUAAUGUAUGGGGAUCUGCCCGAUAGAGGGGGAUAACUACUGGAAACGGUGGCUAAUACCGCAUACUAUCGGAUGACCCCCUAUGGGAGUAGCUAGUAGGUGGGGUAAAGGCUCACCUAGGCGACGAUCUUUAGCUGGUCUGAGAGGAUGACCAGCAACACUGGAACUGAGAAACGGGCCAGAAUCCUACGGGAGGCAGCAGUGGGGAAUAUUGCACAAUGGGCGCAAGCCUGAUGUAGACAUGCCGCGUGUAUGAAGAAGGCCUUCGGGUUGUAAAGUACUGUCAGCGAGGAGGCGUUACUCGCAGAAGAAGCACCGGCUAACUCCGUGCCAGCAGCCGCGGUAAUAC